UACGUAGGGUGCGAGCGUUGUCCGGAAUUACUGGGCGUAAAGAGCUCGUAGGUGGUUUGUCGCGUUGUCCGUGAAAACUCACAACUCAAUUGUGGGCGUGCGGGCGAUACGGGCAGACUGGAGUACUGCAGGGGAGACUGGAAUUCCCGGUGUAGUGGUGGAAUGCGAAGAUAUCGGGAGGAACACCAGUGGCGAAGGCGGCGUCCUGGACCGGUGCUGACGCUGAGGAGCGAAAGCGUGGGGAGCGAUCCGG
rnacentral:rRNA from 1 species